UACGUAGGGUGCAAGCGUUGUCCGGAAUUAUUGGGCGUAAAGAGCUCGUAGGCGGUCUGUCGCGUCGGCUGUGAAAUCCCGAGGCUCAACCUCGGGUCUGCAGUCGAUACGGGCAAACUGGAGUGUUGCAGGGGAGACUGGAAUUCCUGGUGUAGCGGUGAAAUGCGCAGAUAUCAGGAGGAACACCGGUGGCGAAGGCGGGACUCUGGGCCGAUACUGACGCUGAGGAGCGAAAGCGUGGGGAGCAAACAGG
rnacentral:rRNA from 1 species